CCUACGGGGGGCUGCAGUGGGGAAUAUUGGACAAUGGGGGGAACCCUGAUCCAGCCAUGCCGCAUGUGUGAAGAAGGCCCUCGGGUUGUAAAGCACUUUCAGUGAGGAAGAACGCCUGGUGGUUAAUACCCAUCAGGAAAGACAUCACUCACAGAAGAAGCACCGGCUAACUCCGUGCCAGCAGCCGCGGUAAUACGGAGGGUGCGAGCGUUAAUCGGAAUUACUGGGCGUAAAGCGCGCGUAGGUGGCUUGAUAAGCCGGUUGUGAAAGCCCCGGGCUCAACCUGGGAACGGCAUCCGGAACUGUCAAGCUAGAGUGCAGGAGAGGAAGGUAGAAUUCCCGGUGUAGCGGUGAAAUGCGUAGAGAUCGGGAGGAAUACCAGUGGCGAAGGCGGCCUUCUGGACUGACACUGACACUGAGGUGCGAAAGCGUGGGUAGCAAACAGGAUUAGAUACCCGUGUAGUC
rnacentral:rRNA from 1 species